rnacentral:piRNA from 1 species
UCAUUAUUUUUGCCUAGACACAUCUCUUU